AUUGAACGCUGGCGGCAGGCCUAAUACAUGCAAGUCGAACGGUAACAUAAGAGAAGCUUGCUUUUCUUGAUGACGAGUGGCGGACGGGUGAGUAAGAUUUGGGAAACUACCUUGAUAGAGGGGGACAACAGUUGGAAACGACUGCUAAUACCGCAUACAGCCUUAGGGUGAAAGAAGAAAUUCGCUAUCAGAUGUGCCCAAACGGGAUUAGCUAGUAGGUGAGGUAAAGGCUCACCUAGGCGACGAUCUCUAGCUGGUCUGAGAGGAUGAUCAGCCACAUUGGGACUGAGACACGGCCCAGACUCCUACGGGAGGCAGCAGUAGGGAAUAUUGCACAAUGGAGGAAACUCUGAUGCAGCCAUGCCGCGUGUGUGAAGAAGGCCUUCGGGUUGUAAAGCACUUUCGCAGGGGAGGAAGAAAAUGACGUUACCCUCAGAAGAAGCACCGGCUAACUCCGUG
rnacentral:rRNA from 1 species